rnacentral:rRNA from 1 species
CCUACGGGAGGCAGCAGUGGGGAAUAUUGGACAAUGGGCGAAAGCCUGAUCCAGCAAUUCCGCGUGUGUGAAGAAGGCCUUCGGGUUGUAAAGCACUUUAGUGGGGGAAGAAACAGCUUGGCCACACCAAGCCUUGACGGUACCCCAAGAAUAAGCACCGGCUAACUCUGUGCCAGCAGCCGCGGUAAUACAGAGGGUGCAAGCGUUAAUCGGAUUUACUGGGCGUAAAGGGUGCGUAGGUGGCUAUUUAAGUCGGAUGUGAAAGCCCGGGGCUCAACCUCGGAAUUGCAUUCGAUACUGAGUGGCUAGAGUUCGGUAGAGGGCGGCGGAAUUUCCGGUGUAGCGGUGAAAUGCGUAGAUAUCGGAAGGAACAUCAAUGGCGAAGGCAGCCGCCUGGGCCUGGACUGACACUGAGGCACGAAAGCGUGGGUAGCAAACAGGAUUAGAUACCCUGGUAGUCCACGCCGUAAACGAUGAGAACUUGACGUUGGUUCGUUUUACGAAUCGGUGUCGCAGCUAACGCGAUAAGUUCUCCGCCUGGGGGAGGUACGGCCGCGAGUAGUAACUUAAUAGAGUAGACGGCGUGAGACGUGCCGACGGACGACCGACGAGGGAGGUUAGG